GNNNNNGNGGCAGCUUACCNUGCAGUCGAGCGGAGAGAGGUAGCUUGCUACUGAUCUUAGCGGCGGACGGGUGAGUAAUGCUUAGGAAUCUGCCUAUUAGUGGGGGACAACAUUUCGAAAGGAAUGCUAAUACCGCAUACGUCCUACGGGAGAAAGCAGGGGAUCUUCGGACCUUGCGCUAAUAGAUGAGCCUAAGUCGGAUUAGCUAGUUGGUGGGGUAAAGGCCUACCAAGGCGACGAUCUGUAGCGGGUCUGAGAGGAUGAUCCGCCACACUGGGACUGAGACACGGCCCAGACUCCUACGGGAGGCAGCAGUGGGGAAUAUUGGACAAUGGGCGCAAGCCUGAUCCAGCCAUGCCGCGUGUGUGAAGAAGGCCUUAUGGUUGUAAAGCACUUUAAGCGAGGAGGAGGCUACUUUAGUUAAUACCUAGAGAUAGUGGACGUUACUCGCAGAAUAAGCACCGGCUAACUCUGUGCCAGCAGCCGCGGUAAUACAGAGGGUGCAAGCGUUAAUCGGAUUUACUGGGCGUAAAGCGCGCGUAGGCGGCUAAUUAAGUCAAAUGUGAAAUCCCCGAGCUUAACUUGGGAAUUGCAUUCGAUACUGGUUAGCUAGAGUGUGGGAGAGGAUGGUAGAAUUCCAGGUGUAGCGGUGAAAUGCGUAGAGAUCUGGAGGAAUACCGAUGGCGAAGGCAGCCAUCUGGCCUAACACUGACGCUGAGGUGCGAAAGCAUGGGGAGCAAACAGGAUUAGAUACCCUGGUAGUCCAUGCCGUAAACGAUGUCUACUAGCCGUUGGGGCCUUUGAGGCUUUAGUGGCGCAGCUAACGCGAUAAGUAGACCGCCUGGGGAGUACGGUCGCAAGACUAAAACUCAAAUGAAUUGACGGGGGCCCGCACAAGCGGUGGAGCAUGUGGUUUAAUUCGAUGCAACGCGAAAACCUUACCUGGGCCUUGACAUAGUAAGAACUUUCCAGAGAUGGAUUGGUGCCUUCGGGAACUUACAUACNGNGCUGCAUGGCUGUCGUCAGCUCGUGUCGUGAGAUGUUNGGUUAAGUCCGCANGAGCGCAACCNUUUUCCUUNUUUGCCANNNAGUAAUGUCGGAACUUU
rnacentral:rRNA from 1 species